rnacentral:lncRNA from 1 species
UUUUUAAUUCUCAAAGGACAUUGGUAAUGUGCUGACUUGACAUAAGGAGCACAUAGCAGCAAAUGGUGGGAUUAGGUAUAGAACUCUGCAAUGCUAUAAUCCCAAAGCAAAGGUCCUGUCUGUAAUAAGAAACCAGAUUUCCCUGCAUCCUCUUCCAUGACUCAGCCUACAUGAUGCCUAUCCAAAUCACAAAAGAAUUUUAUGACCAUUAAAUAAACAAAGCAAGUCUUAGAUGACUUCUGUGAAGCAGAGUAAUAGUAAUAAAAUAAUCAAAUAUAUAGCAUAGUGAGCAGUACUACAGUAAAAUGCAUAAGUAAGCACUUUGUGGCCAGAAUAUCUGGGUCUGAGUCCCAGCUUCACCACCUGUUAUAUGUCAUUUGUUAAAUGGAAAAGUUAUAGAACCUUUUUAUGCAUCUACUUCCUAUCUGUGAAGGUGAAUAUAGAAACAAAAGAAAAGAAGAGGAAAAGAAAACAAUUUGUAACCCUCGAUGAUGGACAAAAUGGAUGAAGAAGGAAAAAAAUUAUAUUUAGAAUUUACAAAUUAAAAUUUCCUAGCACAAUAAUAAUGGCUGUGUCAAGAGAAAAAAUUCAUCAGCCUGAAAAAGUGUUGAUAUAUUUCUUAAAUAACAUUGAUGUAUUUUUUGAUUGAUUUAACAAUGGUUUGAACAAUUUAUUUAUUUUUUGAGUUCAUUAUAAUUAUAAAAUAUUUUCUGACAAGCGGAUUAAUAACAGUACUACAUUACAAGUACCAUUAGAGUAGCUCUAUAGAUCUAGUGUUGACUUAGAUUUGUAACAGUGAGACAGCAAAAAAGCAAGCAUAACUUACUUCAUUUUUGUUUAAGGGGCUUUUACCCAUUUCUGGACAUAGGCAAGAAUAAUUUUAGAGACUAAGAUAAAAUGCAAAAACAACAAUAAUGUAGUUUAUAAAAACUAAUUCUGGCAUGAAACGGUAAGUACAUGAACAACUAUGUUUUCUUAAAGAUGUAUAGGACCCUGUGACCUGAUCAAGGCCAAAGAAGUUUCCAGCCUCCUCAGAUCCUCACUGGUGCUCAGAUUUCUGUGAUUAUCAGUCACCUCUUCAUCCCAGCCCUGUUCUCUUCUGCCGUCCCUCUGACACAAGAACAGAAAAUGAAAUACCGCAUA